UACGUAGGGGGCGAGCGUUGUCCGGAUUUAUUGGGCGUAUAGAGCGUGUAGGCGGCCAGGUAGGUCUGCUGUGAAAACUCGAGGCUCAACCUCGAGACGUCGGCGGAAACCAUCUGGCUAGAGUCCGGAAGAGGAGAGUGGAAUUCCUGGUGUAGCGGUGAAAUGCGCAGAUAUCAGGAAGAACACCCGUGGCGAAGGCGGCUCUCUGGGACGGUACUGACGCUGAGACGCGAAAGCGUGGGGAGCGAACAGG
rnacentral:rRNA from 1 species